rnacentral:rRNA from 1 species
AGAGCGGACGCUGGCGGCAGGCCUAAUACAUGCAAGUCGAACGGACCCUUCGGGGUUAGUGGCGGACGGGUGAGUAACACGUGGGAACGUGCCCUUUGGUUCGGAACAACUCAGGGAAACUUGAGCUAAUACCGAAUGUGCCCCCAUCCUUAAACAAGAUGGGUGGGAAAGAUUUAUCGCCAUUGGAGCGGCCCGCGUCUGAUUAGCUAGUUGGUGAGGUAAAGGCUCACCAAGGCGACGAUCAGUAGCUGGUCUGAGAGGAUGAUCAGCCACACUGGGACUGAGACACGGCCCAGACUCCUACGGGAGGCAGCAGUAGGGAAUCUUGCGCAAUGGGCGAAAGCCUGACGCAGCCAUGCCGCGUGAAUGAUGAAGGUCUUAGGAUUGUAAAAUUCUUUCAGCGGGGACGAUAAUGACGGUACCCGCAGAAGAAGCCCCGGCUAACUUCGUGCCAGCAGCCGC